rnacentral:rRNA from 1 species
UGGGGAAUUUUGGACAAUGGGCGCAAGCCUGAUCCAGCCAUUCCGCGUGCAGGAUGAAGACCUUCGGGUCGUAAACUCCUUUCGAUCGAGACGAAUGGCCUCCGGGUGACUAGUCCGGAGGAGUGACGGUACCGAGAGAAGAAGCCCCGGCUAACUCCGUGCCAGCAGCCGCGGUAAUACGGGGGGGGCAAGCGUUGUUCGGAAUUACUGGGCGUAAAGGGCUCGUAGGCGGCCAACUAAGUCAGACGUGAAAUCCCUCGGCUUAACCGGGGAACUGCGUCUGAUACUGGAUGGCUUGAGUUUGGGAGAGGGAUGCGGAAUUCCAGGUGUAGCGGUGAAAUGCGUAGAUAUCUGGAGGAACACCGGUGGCGAAGGCGGCAUCCUGGACCGAUACUGACGCUGAGGAGCGAAAGCCAGGGGAGCAAA